rnacentral:rRNA from 1 species
CCCUUAGAUGUCCUGGGCUGCACGCGCGCUACACUGAUGUGUUCAAUAAGCACCUAACCUACUCCGAAGGGACUGGGUAACCUUUGCAAAGCACAUCGUGAUGGGGAUAGAUUAUUGCAAUUAUUAGUCUUGAACGAGGAAUUCCUAGUAAGCGCAAGUCAUCAGCUUGUGUUGAUUACGUCCCUGCCCUUUGUACACACCGCCCGUCGCUCCUACCGAUUGAGUGAUCCGGUGAGGCUUUGGGAUCUGAGCAAAAAGAGCGUUUCGCUCGUUUGGCUCGGAAAACUCAGUCGAACCUUAUCAUUUAGAGGAAGGAGAAGUCGUAACA